rnacentral:rRNA from 1 species
GAUGAACGCUAGCGGCAGGCCUAAUACAUGCAAGUCGAACGGUGUCUUCGGACAUAGCGGCGCACGGGUGCGUAACACGUAUGCAACCUACCUUACAUUGGGGGAUAGCCUUUCGAAAGGGAGAUUAAUACCGCAUAAGACAGUAGCUGGGCAUCCAGCAGCUGUUAAAGAUUUAUCGAUGUAAGCUGGGCAUGCGUCCAAUUAGCUAGUUGGUGAGGUAACGGCUCACCAAGGCAAUGAUUGGUAGGGGAACUGAGAGGUCAAUCCCCCACACUGGCACUGAGAUACGGGCCAGACUCCUACGGGAGGCAGCAGUAGGGAAUAUUGGGCAAUGGACGCAAGUCUGACCCAGCCAUGCCGCGUGCAGGAUGAAGGCGUUAUGCGUUGUAGACUGCUUUUAUACAGGAAGAAACGACUCUUGCGAGAGGCAUUGACGGUACUGUAUGAAUAAGCACCGGCUAACUCCGUGCCAGCAGCCGCCGUAAUAC